rnacentral:tmRNA from 1 species
GGGGGUGACAGGUUUCGACAGGGACUGCGGUUGCAAGAAUAGCAUAUCAGGGAGAUUACCUAUCCUGUUAAAAUGGUGAUAUUAAAAUUAAUUGCAGAUGAAAAUCUAGCAUUAGCCGCUUAAUAAAGUGGCUACAUUUGGACUGAAGUUGCCAUUCGUUUCUAUUCAAAUGCCGAUUAGAAUGGCUCUGAUAUUGUGAUGUCUAUAAGCAAUGUUGAAACUUAUUUAGACUUGUUCUGGGUGAGUUUGUCGGUUGUUUCAUUCAGAAUGAAAUAACACAAUUGACUAAAUAUGUAGAAUUUCUUGCAGUCAAAUCUUUGGACGCGGGUUCGAUUCCCGCCACCUCCACCA